rnacentral:rRNA from 1 species
UACGGAGGAUCCGAGCGUUAUCCGGAUUUACUGGGUUUAAAGGGUGCGUAGGCGGCUCCCUCAGUCAGCGGUGAAAUGUGCAGGCUCAACCUGCAACCUGCCGUUGAUACUGGGGAGCUUGAGUUGGGUUGAGGCAGGCGGAAUGUGCGGUGUAGCGGUGAAAUGCAUAGAUAUCGCACAGAACGCCGAUUGCGUAGGCAGCUUGCCAAGCCCACACUGACGCUGAGGCACGAAAGCGUGGGGAUCAAACAGG